UGGCGGCAGGCCUAACACAUGCAAGUCGAACGGUAACAGGAAGCAGCUUGCUGCUUCGCUGACGAGUGGCGGACGGGUGAGUAAUGUCUGGGAAACUGCCUGAUGGAGGGGGAUAACUACUGGAAACGGUNGCUAAUACCGCAUAACGUCGCAAGACCAAAGAGGGGGACCUUCGGGCCUCUUGCCAUCAGAUGUGCCCAGAUGGGAUUAGCUNGUUGGUGNGGUAACGGCUCACCAAGGCGACGAUCCCUAGCUGGUCUGAGAGGAUGACCAGCCACACUGGAACUGAGACACGGUCCAGACUCCUACGGGAGGCAGCAGUGGGGAAUAUUGCACAAUGGGCGCAAGCCUGAUGCAGCCAUGCCGCGUGUAUGAAGAAGGCCUUCGGGUUGUAAAGUACUUUCAGCGGGGAGGAAGGUGUUGUGGUUAAUAACCGCAGCAAUUGACGUUACCCGCAGAAGAAGCACCGGCUAACUCCGUGCCAGCAGCCGCGGUAAUAC
rnacentral:rRNA from 1 species